GACGCCAUAGCUCAGUCCAGGUUAGAGCGCCUCGGCGAGCACUUGUAAACAACAGGAUGUAAUGGCCUGGGUUCAACUCCCAUCGGUGCAUGCCUACA